rnacentral:tRNA from 1 species
UGUAAAGUAAGUUAACAAAACUGUUGGGCUCAUGUCCCAAAUAUAGAGAUGAGACUUCUCUCUUUGCCC